ACCGAUCGUUGUUGGCUGCCUAUAUAAGACACGGGCGCUGCACUUGGAGAAGGGGAGGGCCAGACCGGAAGGCCGCGGACGUCUCGCGCCCAGACGCAUGCGCAAGCAGAUCCAUGGCGAACAAGUCCAGGUAGGUGGCCACAGUAGAGAGAAGGAGCGUGGCGGCGCCCCAGACGAACAGGUGCCAGGGGAGCAGUGCUGGUCGACACGCCCAUGGUGAACAGGUCCAAGGAAGGGAGCGCGAUGACGCCUGGCCGACCUAGACGAGGUCUCCAUGGUUCGUGAGCUUCCAAACCAGGUUCAUAGUUCCACCUACCUUUUGUUGUUGUUACAGGUUUCCCCAUGCACACGGCUUGCUCGACGCCAAGGAGCUGGCGAGCCAACCCAAGACAGGUAGUAGCCGCAGCCUGCAGGGAAGCUAACAGCGCAGAUCGGUCAAGGACGCAGGGCAGCGCCCAACGCGCCCAAGACGGCGGCGCACGCCGCACAAGGUCACAUAGGAGAUCGCCAUGCAUAUCACGUAAGAUUUUCUUUCUACUCGUUUACAUCCAGAUGCAGGUCGGGGUGAACGGGAGAAGAUUCCGAGGUAGGACGCAGGUGCGGCGCCCACGCGCCCAAGACGGCCGGCGGCGCACGCCGUACACAAGGAUGGGUUCAUCGAGGUGUACAUGACCAAGACGGAGGUCAGCGAGACGCCGCGUCCAAAGCACGGCGUCAAGGACAGCGGCCGGCCACGCGCUCGUCCAAGGGGGGCGCCGUACAGGAAGAUGAGUUCUUCUGUCACCAUGGUACGUAAAGAACCCUCUAUCUUCCUCUCUUCCUCGUCUAUGCAGGUGCCAUGGAGAGAAAACAGGCAAGAGACAUGCCGUUGUCUCUAGAGCUUAGCAGCAUGAUUUUGCGACCACCUUUUGACGUGGUCCUGACUGCCGUCGCGGGCCGUGCGCCAUGUUCCGACGCCUGCUCAGUGCGGGACGUCAUCUUCAUCAAUAAUCAGCACACGUCCGUCCAUGCCUUUGGUGCGGUCGUGGGUGAUGUCUACAUAAUGCACGCCCUAGGCAGGGCGUUCUUCAUCAACAAGUGCCAUAAUCAAGGCAUGAUAGCCAUGCCCGUGUGGUGUCCACUGAGACAUGGCCAGACACGGCGCCAGGCGGGUGCCUUCUCCCGCCGCCUCAAGCACAACAACACACACAAGUUCAACCUGCAAGGGCAGCAUGCACGUACAACGCAUGUUGUAAAGCAUGAGCUCUUGUUUCAUCAUGGUAAGUAGAGAUUCCUCUAUCUUUCUCUCUUCUUGUCUACCCAGGUGCCAUGGAGGUGCAUGCAGGAGGCAUGCCAUUGUCUCCGGAGCUUAGCAAUCUCGUGAUUGUUGUCCGUACCGUGCGCCACAUUCUGGCACCCACCCAAUGCGGGGCGCCAUCUUCACAACGGCCCGUCAACAUCCGCCUGGGCACCAUUGUGUGCGACGGUGCGGACGCGCCCGUCAGCCUACAGGACUCCUCCAACUGUCCCACGCCUCGAGCUACGUGGUGUCCGUCGAGACACCGUCAUAUAGGGCGCCUGUCUUGGCGCAUCCUUCACCAACCUGGCAUCAUGCCGUCGCUCAUGGCGGCCUUCCACCCGGUGUCCAUCGAGACACCGCCACACAGGGCGCCUGUCUUGUCUCAUCCUUCAUCGACACGACGUCGUGCAAGACGCUACGGCUCGUGGCGGCCUUCCACGUGGUGUCGCUGAGACACCGCAGCUGAGGGCGCCCGCUUCAGCGCACUAUUCACAGGUUAUCACCAUGCUAAGACCUCCACGGCUUGUGGCGGCCUUCUACCUGGUGUCUGCCGAGACACCGCCAUACAGGGCGCCAGCCUUGGCGCAUCCUUCACAGGUUAUUAGCAUCGUGCCGUUCGUGGCAGCCUUCUACAUGGUGUCCGCUGAGACAACGCCAUACACGGCGCCUGGCUUGGCGCACUCUUCACCAACUUGGGAUCGGUACACCACACCUCGUGGCGGCCUUCUACGCGGUGUCUGCUGAGACACCACCAUACACGACGCCUGCCUUGGCGCACUCUUCACUAACUUGGGAUCGGUACGCGUCACCGUUCGUGGCGGCCUUCUACGCAGUGUCUGCUGAGACACCACCAUACACGGUGCCCACCUUGGCGCACUCUUCACCAACUUGGGCAUCAGCACGCCGCUAGUCGUGGUAGCCUUCUACGUGGUGUCCGUCGGGACACCACCAUACACGGCGCCUGCUUGGGCGCAUGCUUCACCAACUUAUGGCGAGGUCUCUUGCACCUCCGAUAGCACCUACAUCGUCGUCUUCAACAUCAAGUCUACUCCCUCAUCCAUAUUGCCGAUGGCAUUCCGGCAUCCAAGCAUCUUCUCCAACACCGACUAAGCACCGGUGAUGCGAAUCCACUCCACCGACAUGUCCUUGUAUCGAUGAAGUACAUCACCACACCACAUGCUCUUGCUGGGCACCGACGCUAGGUGACAGCAAGACAUCCUGUCCGGUCCGACGAGGCAGACAUUUUACAGGCCGGGUACCGACGAGGCGAAGGCCACUUCAUCAACCUCUCUAACUGACAAGGCACGUGGCAGCUAGACACUUCAUCGUACUUCGACAAUACGACAUAGAUGCCGUUCGGCACCUACACGGUCGAACGGUCGUGGCUUAGCAUCGACGGAGUGGGGUCGUACCACCCCUCUCUUCCUAUUCAUCACCACCAUCUUCUGCACCAAGCACAAGGAGAAGACAAGACUUGAAGACGACACCAUUGCAGCAGCUUAAUCGGAGGUGGUCUGCAGGCUUGACCUGCGGACGUAAUUAAGCGGAAGUUUUCCGAGGCCCCGUGUACCAAGAAACCGCAAUCGCCUAUGUCAUGUUGGCCUUUCUAGUAGGCCACACGGAGCGCAUGAUGUAUAAGGAAACUUGUAAUUUCGUUUCUCUAUGGCUGUUUUAAGGAGCCUAUUGGAGCAUUUUUCGUGCAAAAUCCGUAACUUUUACGGGUCGAAGCUACACGAGAAAUCUACUGGAGAUGCUUUAAUCGGAUAAGGGAGAGCAGCACACGCAACACCAAAUCCACAGUUCAUAUGAGAACGAUAAGAUGGAUCCACGGUUCAACUUAUUAGGUCGAGGUGCAUGCACGCACUCUCGCUCAGCCGGUCAGCAGCAUGGUUUGUCGACCGGCGGACAUAGACAAGGUGAUUACACAGUAACCAUUAGCUAGUAGCGGCGGCGGCGGCUGGCCGGCUCCUUCUGAGCAUUGAAGUACAUGGCGGCGACGGGGAGUCCCAAUCCAUGCUCCUUCGCGAACUCCCGCGUGCGGAACCCCGCGCGCACCCCGGGCGCUUCCUCGCCGGGCGCCACCGCCGGCGCCGGCGCCCUCUGCUGAAACACCACCAGCACGUAGCGGUGGAUGCCCAACGCUGGGCGCGGGCUCAUGUAGGGCACCACCUCCUUACCUGCACGACGCACGGCCGCAUUCAUCGUUACCAAAACCACAAAGAAGCUGGAGUAGUACUACAGGCAUGUCAUGGAGUAACACGAUUUGAAUUGUAUACCGUUUAAAUCCACACCCUGUUUAUUACGGACCUUUGCAACGCAGGGUCACAGCACGUUUGCAGCUGGA